GCCUUCGUAGUGUAAUGGUAGCACACUCGGUGCGUAUUCGAGAGGUCCAGGUUCGAGUCCCGGCGAGGGCA
rnacentral:tRNA from 1 species